rnacentral:tRNA from 1 species
GGGCGAUUAGCUCAGCGGUAGAGCGCCCGGUUUACACCCGGAAGGUCGGGGGUUCGAGCCCCUCAUCGCCCACCA